GAAGCUCUUCUCUCGGCAGCAUCUCCAUGCUCGCGCGGCGUGGCGUGACGGCGAUCCCUGCAGGGGCUGUGUCGACCUCCCCCACCUCCGCGCCUCUCACCGUAGCGACGCGAUGCGUGCACGCCGGCAUCUUUGAUCACCCACCUUUCAGCUACCGUCGCCAGCACACCUUCAACACGCUGCCGAUGCACGACGCCAACCGCUUCGGUGGUCGCACGGCAUAUCUGCGCGAGAUCGGGCCGAUCGAUCAUAAGAAGAAGGGCCGCCUCUUCAAGCGCGACCUGCCUACGCUGCAGUUCAACGUGGACGUGUGGUGCGCGCAGCAGACGCUGCGCAAGCAGUGGAAGGGGCGGGACUGGGACGUGGUGGAGAUGCCAUUCGAGAUGGCGCCGAAGGAGCUGCAGCGCGUAGUGCCGGAGAAGUACACAGAUGUGCCGAUGAUGGCCGAUCCUGCCCGCCACGACUACAUGAACAUCCGGCGCAAGGUCUUUGAUAGGGAGGACAUGCAGGAUGCCCUGUUCGCCAGUGGCGGUGCUGAUCAGCCGCCGUACCCAGCCAUCCAGCGCGUGGACAAGGCCGCCAUGACACUGGACAAGUAUCUGUGAGAAGGUUCUCUCGGUGCUCAGCUGUGCACUGUUUGCGCAGUGAGGAGGGGAGAAGACGUGAUUGUGUGGGUGCGCGUGUGUGAUGGUCUUCGCUGCUCCCUACUUCCCCCCCCCUCCCUCCUCAUCCGUCCGCCCCUGAAGCAGCUUGUUGCGGCACUGGGCGGUGGUGCUGUGGCCGCGUCAGCUGUCGCCUGCCGCCUGCCGCCCCUUCCCCCUCGUUUUCCUCACACACUCGCAAUGGUGCCGUGUGAGAGCGUACGAAGAAGGCAGCGGGGGGAGCGUGCGGCCGUGGAGCGCAGACAUUCGCUGCAUGAGCGGCAGCGUUCAACUUGAUCUCUCCUCCCUCUCUUUGCUCUGCGCGUGUGUCUAUGAUCUCCUGAACGGUAAACCAGAAGGAGGCCAAAAUGGCGCGGCAUCAGCCGCGUGCGCAAGGAAGCUGCUCCACUUGUUGGAGGCGGCGGCUGCGGCGAGCCUUUCUGUGGGCUGGCCGCCAGUGAGCACACUGCAGUGCCUCAAGCUCGCCCCCUCCUCCUCCCCUCGCCUCACGCUCAGUCGUCUGCUGUCUCUUCGUUCGACUGCGCAGAGGGAGGAGAGACAACGCCUGAGAAAAGGGGAGAGGGGCUCCAGCGAAGAUGCUCGUGUGUGUGCGUUCAGCACACAUGCGUUCCGUGUACACGCGUCAUAAGAGGCACCUGCGCGGCGCCUCAUGCCGUGCCUGCUUGCCUGCUUCUGCUCCUUCCCCAUCCCCGCCUAAAACCCCAACCACCGUGAGGGUUACAGCCACUUCCAUCUCUUCCUUCAAUCCUCCACCCUACGACCUCUACCCUCUCUUCGCCAUACCGGCGCAUGCGUACGUCGAUAACACGCGCAG
rnacentral:misc_RNA from 1 species